AAUAAUAAUAAUAAUAAACAGAACAAUAACAAUAGGAUUUUCCACAGAAAAGUGGAAAGCCCUAAUAACUAGUGAUCCUAAUUGUUCGCGAACAAUUAGAGGGCUUCCCACCUUCUAGCGGUUUUUCAGUAGUGUUGAAAUGCUAAAAGCCCCCCCCCCCUACCCCACCCCACCCUCACCCAAAAAAAAAAAAUUGAUUUGGCUAGAAAAGAAAUUCAAAUUUGCCGCCUAAAUUUGAGUGUUGAGGUGUGUUCAAUGCUUGGUUUCGCAUUAAGUACCCGUCAAAUUUGAGGGAGAAAAGGGGUGUGGGUGUUGGGUAGCCAGCACAUAUGCACAUAUCAGGUAAAAGUGUAAUGGGACUUGUGCAGGUGUUUGGGGUGACUUUAGACCUGUUAGAUGUGAUAUUUGGAGGUGCAAAGAAACCGGAUGUGCCAUUUUCCUAGAUUGUAGUAACUGCUGGUGCAUGCUGGGAGUCUAUACAAGCCUCAUGUUGUCAGAUGUUGUGAAGAUGCACUGGAUUUGACCGUGUGUGUUGUGGAUUGUGGAAUUGAAUAUACAGUUUGUAAUGGCUCAUCCUAUGUGUUCUAAUUCACGGAGACAAUGUCUUUCAGUCAUUUCACCCAAGGAGGCAUGCAUAUACGGAUUUAUAGGCUUUGACAACAAACAACCAAAAUGGCGGCCGGUGAAUUAGAAAGUGUCUGAGUGCAUGUAGGAUAUCUGAACGGAGAAUAGGAGUACUGCAUCCCAUCUGAUCCUGCAGUCAUUUCACCCAAGGAGGCAUGCAUAUACGGAUUUAUAGGCUUUGACAACAAACAACCAAAAUGGCGGCCGGUGAAUUAGAAAGUGUCUGAGUGCAUGUAGGAUAUCUGAACGGAGAAUAGGAGUACUGCAUCCCAUCUGAUCCUGCAGUCAUUUCACCCAAGGAGGCAUGCAUAUACGGAUUGAUAGGCUUUGACAACAAACAACCAAAAUGGCGGCCGGUGAAUUAGAAAGUGUCUGAGUGCAUGUAGGAUAUCUGAACGGAGAAUAGGAGUACUGCAUCCCAUCUGAUCCUGCAGGUAAGUGUUUAUUUGUUUACAAUGACAGUCGGGAUGGAAUGUCAAUGAGUUCAACUGUCAAGUAAAGUUGCAUCAUCA